GACUCCUUCCACCCCUCACGUAUGCCAACUUCUUCUACUGCAAUUUCCCCGCAACUUCCCCUUUAUUACUUUAUUCCUUCUCUCUCCUCUUCCCCCCUUUUUCUCCUCUCGACGAAAUCACCUCUCCUCUUCUUUUCUUUUUCUCCCCCCUCACGCAUUCUCCAUUUCUACCAUAGCACCUCCAUCCUUCUUUCACCUCCAUUUAUUUGCUUUCAUUUUCAAUAGCUUCAUCAUCCACUCGGCUCACCAUCAUCCUCACCGUUGCACGCCAUCCACAUGCCAUUCGCUCAAGCUGAGCGCCCUUGGCUUUGAGCUCAACUUCAACGAACCGUCGCCGUUCGAGUUGCGAGCCUUGUGAUUUUGUCACCGUCGCGCCGCCGGCACAGGAAGUGCGUGGUUCUUGCAUAGGUCCCUAAAUGGAGGAAGGCCAGGUCAUGUACAGUCGGUUGCAAGGAAGAAAGAGUAGGACUCUCGCUAUCUCCUUCCAGGUGAUGACGGUUCUUCCAUCGAGGCUGAAUGCAGGGUGAUGGCUCACCUUAGAGAGAUCGAGAAUUAUGGUAGUGUAGUAGUGAACCCCAGUCUUGUAAAUAGAAGCUUAGCUCGUGGGUAACCGAACAGCUUCACCUUUUGUAUCGGAUCUUGGGGUGUUAAACUGGUAUAUAUACACAUAAGUACUUUGGUAUUA